rnacentral:lncRNA from 1 species
UGUACCUCUCUUAGACCUCAUUUAAGGGCUGACUGCCCCUGGAGAGGGAUCUCUGGUUGCAGAUCCCUCCCUUAUGGAGUUUUUCCUGUGAGCCUAGAACUUCAGAGAUGGGAAAACCAGAUGAAGAUUAAGUCCCUGGAAAGAAAAUGUCAGCAGUCCCUAGAUGUAACCCACUGACCCAUUCCAGUCUCAAUGAAACACCCAAAUCCAGCCUGCCUUUUGGUCAGGAGCAGUGACGCCUGCCAGGCUCAGGAGACUGAAAGACAAACCCUUUCAAAGCCACCCAAGCAGCUGCCAGUCAAUUCCCAUGGAGCCUACAGUGUUUAUUGCAGUAUGCGUAUUAUGAUGGAAGAUCAAAAAGGAGAGAGAGAUUUAGUAAACAUACAUACCAUUAACACCUCAGAGGAUGUCCAAUCUUCUGUCUAAUCUGCUGCAACAUAAAUUUCAUGAUGAAGGAACCUGGAAAGUGUUAAAACAGUUAGUUAUAUAUAACACUUCAAACAGUGGUACUGAAAACAAUCAAACCGCCACCAGCCCUUUGAAUCUGGUGCACUCUAGAAGCUGCUUUCUUGCAAAAUUUCUGCUACUCCUUGCGAACAUCUUGAAUUUUGACAUUUUUUUUUUGAAGAUGAAAACAAACCGCACACGGUACUUGGGCAACAAGCCAUUGCUUUCUGGAUUUUUUAAAUGCUUCAAGUCCCAUAACUUACAAACAUGAGAACAGCUGUAGUGGUGAAAUGAAGGCCCUGUCCAGCCCAGUAUACUACCUCUAAUAGUGUGAGAAGACCAGAGGGGAAGAGCAAAUGAGCAAAGCAAACACAUGUGAUACUUCUUGUUGUUGCCUGCCAGCCGCCCACCACCUGCGCUGCAAAUAUUUCUCAAGAAUGAUGCACAGAUGUAGCUUUUAUGAACUUGGUAUCCCUUGAUAUCCUCCAAAACACAAACUAGUUGUUGUUGUCGUUGUUGUUGUUAUUCUUGUUGUUUUGUGGAGUCUAACCAUUUUGAUCAAUCCAGAAGGUAGUAAUGAGACAAAACAUUACACAGGAUGGGAAGAGAAUACAGGCCACGCAGUUGUGAAUGGCUAUGGAAGAAUUUUCCAGCUUCUUGUUAAAGAUGGAUUGACUUUAAAGUCUGCGACAGCAAUAUACAGAUUACAUUUACUUCAUACUCUCUCCUGUGAUAAUUUUUGUACGCUUCUCCCAUUACUUGCAGUACCAUGUGUUAGUACUGUACAUUUUUAACUCAAAUUAACCAACAAGGAUCAACCAAACAGCUUUUUUUUUUUUUUUUUUUUUGUGAGUUUUAGAAUGGAGAAAACAGCUUAAUGCAUGUGUCUUGUCUUGUUAGUUGAUUGUUGCUAUGUUCUGGGUACCUAAUCAACAAAUACCUACCUCAGGUACUCACUGCACGCC